rnacentral:rRNA from 1 species
UAGGCGAACGGGUGAGUAAUACAUCGGAACGUGUCCGCUCGUGGGGGACGAACCAGCCGAAAGGUUGGCUAAUACCGCAUGAGUUCUACGGAAGAAAGAGGGGGACCCGCAAGGGCCUCUCGCGAGCGGAGCGGCCGAUGACUGAUUAGCCGGUUGGUGAGGUAACGGCUCACCAAAGCAACGAUCAGUAGCUGGUCUGAGAGGACGACCAGCCACACUGGGACUGAGACACGGCCCAGACUCCUACGGAAGGCAGCAG